GACUGUCAAUGAUGAAUUUUGUUUAAAAAACAAUGGGAAUCUCUCUGAAUCAGGGUGAAAGAGUGCUUUGUUACUGAUGCAGUU